rnacentral:lncRNA from 1 species
AACCGGGUGUUGAGGAUGAAAAGCAGCAACUUCUCUUAGAAGGGAGAGAAAGCCAGGCUGAGGUGCUGCAAUCACGAGUAGCAAUACAGAGAGAAAAAGUUACUGAAGGAGCAUUCUUAGAAUUCAAGCUAAUAUAGAAAAUAGUUUUGAAAAUAAAGUUCCAUAUUUAAAUCGGAAAAGUUUUCCUCCAAUAACCAUAUUUUGGUAGUUAAAUACCACACCUUCCCCUCCAUAAAGAAAAAAGAAAAAAAAAAGUAAAAGAAUUCAUUUUCAUUCUGACUCCAUUUGCCUGAAACCAAAGAUUUCUAUACAGAACAUAAAGUAAAAAGCUGAGGUGACAAUUGUCUGAAACAACAACAAAAACCACUAGGUUUCAAUGUGGGUUAAAGUAACAUAAAAUAAAACAUUUUGUUUUACUUAAAUAUUAUAUACUCACUGCUUUCUGCUUCUCAUGUAUUUCAACUGCAUGAUGUUCUCUUUUGCUUCAGGACCAGGGAUUUUGUCAGUACCACAAAUGGCCAAUCUGGAGGAGACCGGGCACAGACGUUAGACCGUCCCACUGGAGCCAGAAUGGACAGAUGGAGAGGCUGUUAGGAAAAGCCUCGAAGCGAACUAAAGGAAGACUGGACUGAUACUGAAGGAAGUUCAGGCAGGCAGGCAGGUGUUAAGCAUUAAAUAGGUCUAAAAGUAGAAACAGGUGGAUAGCCCUACAGGUGAACAGAAUUUCUCAUCCUGUGACUGUUGGCCGGCAACAAGCAGAGGUUCAAUCAAUCAGAUAGAUAACAUCUGGGGAUCCAGGCACUCCUGGUGGAAAUACAACCACAACAACCAAAGAUCAGUAGCAAAACCCAGCUCAAACAUCCCGGUCCAAACCCAGAAGCAAAACUGACUCAAGGCUGAUUUCAUGAGCUCUGCUUCCAGAAAGUCUAAAGUUUCCACCCCUAGGGCAAAUAUUUCCCAGAACUAAAGCUAAGGCUAACAUGCAACAGCACUAAGAGUCUCCAUGAGAGUACAUGAAGCAUCUGAACAGUAUCUAAAAGAUAAUCCCUAAGCAGAAAAUAAUUUCAGGAAAUUUAUAUGUGUGCACAUAUUUGACCAAAUAAGAGUUAAGAAAAAAAAGA